rnacentral:rRNA from 1 species
CACCUCUAGCAUUCCCAGUAUUAGAGGCACUGCCUGCCCAGUGACAUCUGUUUAAACGGCCGCGGUAUCCUAACCGUGCAAAGGUAGCAUAAUCACUUGUUCUCUAAAUAGGGACUUGUAUGAAUGGCCACACGAGGGUUUUACUGUCUCUUACUUCCAAUCAGUGAAAUUGACCUUCCCGUGAAGAGGCGGGAAUAAUCAAAUAAGACGAGAAGACCCUAUGGAGCUUUAAUUAACUGAUUCACAAAAAACAACAUACAAACCUACCCUCAGGGACAACAAAACUUUUGAUUGAAUCAGCAAUUUCGGUUGGGGUGACCUCGGAGAACAAAACAACCUCCGAGUGAUUUAAAUCUAGACUAACCAGUCAAAAUACAUAAUCACUUAUUGAUCCAAGCCUUUGAUCAACGGAACAAGUUACCCUAGGGAUAACAGCGCAAUCCUAUUCCAGAGUCCAUAUCGACAAUUAGGGUUUACGACCUCGAUGUUGGAUCAAGACAUCCUAAUGGUGCAACCGCUAUUAAGGGUUCGUUUGUUCAACGAUUAAAGUCUU